UACAGAGGCCUCGAGCGUUGCGCGGAAUCACUGGGCUUAAAGGGUGCGUAGGCGGAUACACAAGUGCCUUGUGAAAUCCCCGGGCUCAACCCGGGAACUGCUUGGUAGACUGUGUGUCUUGAGGUCGGUAGGGGUCGCUGGAACAGUUGGUGGAGCGGUGAAAUGCGUAGAUAUCAACUGGAACGCCAAAGGCGAAGGCAAGCGACUGGGCCGAUUCUGACGCUGAGGCACGAAAGCGUGGGGAGCAAACGGG
rnacentral:rRNA from 1 species